AUUCAGUUGAUGAGUCCGAAAUAGGAAGAAAUGCGCGUCCUGGAU
rnacentral:hammerhead_ribozyme from 1 species